CCCGACUGCUAUCGGGGUGAGGCUAAGCCAUGGGAGUCGCGCGCCCAGCCGCCGCUGGGCGCGGCGCACGGCUGAGUAACAUGUAGCUAACCUACCCUCGGGAGGGGGACAACCCCGGGAAACUGGGGCUAAUCCCCCAUAGGCAAGGGGGCCUGGAAGGGUCCCUUGCCGAAAGGGACCCCAGGGGGUUAUCGCCUGGGGUCCGCCCGAGGAUGGGGCUGCACCCCAUCAUGGUAGUUGGCGGGGUAAUGACCCGCCAAGCCGACGACGGGUAGGGGCCGUGGGAGCGGGAGCCCCCAGAUGGGCCCUGAGACAAGGGCCCAGGCCCUACGGGGCGCACCAGGCGCGAAACCUCCGCAAUGCGGGAAACCGUGACGGGGUCACCCCGAGUGCCCCCGUAAGGGGGCUUUUCCCCGCUGCAAGGAGGCGGGGGAAUAAGCGGGGGGCAAGUCUGGUGUCAGCCGCCGCGGUAAUACCAGCCCCGCGAGUGGUCGGGACGUCUACUGGGCCUAAAGCGCCCGUAGCCGGCCCCGUAAGUCCCUCCUGAAAGCCCUGGGCUCAACCCAGGGAGUGGGGGGGAUACUGCGGGGCUAGGGGGCGGGAAAGGCCGGGGGUACCCCAGGGGUAGGGGCGAAAUCCGAUAAUCCCUGGGGGACCACCAGUGGCGAAAGCGCCCGGCUGGAACGCGCCCGACGGUGAGGGGCGAAAGCCGGGGGAGCGAACCGGAUUAGAUACCCGGGUAGUCCCGGCUGUAAACGAUGCGGGCUAGGUGUCGGGCGGGCGUUAGAGCCCGCCCGGUGCCGCAGGGAAGCCGUUAAGCCCGCCGCCUGGGGAGUACGGCCGCAAGGCUGAAACUUUAAGGAAUUGGCGGGGGGGCACACAAGGGGUGGAGCCUGCGGCUCAAUUGGAGUCAACGCCGGGAACCUCACCGGGGGCGACAGCAGGAUGACGGCCAGGCUAAUGACCUUGCCUGACGCGCUGAGGGGAGGUGCAUGGCCGUCGUCAGCUCGUGCUGUGAAGUGUCCUGUUAAGUCAGGCAACGAGCGAGA
rnacentral:rRNA from 1 species